AGAGUUUGAUCAUGGCUCAGAUUGAACGCUGGCGGCAGGCCUAACACAUGCAAGUCGAGCGGUGGAGAGAAGCUAGCUUCUCUUGAGAGCGGCGGACGGGUGAGUAAUGCCUAGGAAUCUGCCUGGUAGUGGGGGAUAACGUUCGGAAACGGACGCUAAUACCGCAUACGUCCUACGGGAGAAAGCAGGGGACCUUCGGGCCUUGCGCUAUCAGAUGAGCCUAGGUCGGAUUAGCUAGUUGGUGAGGUAAUGGCUCACCAAGGCGACGAUCCGUAACUGGUCUGAGAGGAUGAUCAGUCACACUGGAACUGAGACACGGUCCAGACUCCUACGGGAGGCAGCAGUGGGGAAUAUUGGACAAUGGGCGAAAGCCUGAUCCAGCCAUGCCGCGUGUGUGAAGAAGGUCUUCGGAUUGUAAAGCACUUUAAGUUGGGAGGAAGGGUUGUAGAUUAAUACUCUGCAAUUUUGACGUUACCGACAGAAUAAGCACCGGCUAACUCUGUGCCAGCAGCCGCGGUAAUACAGAGGGUGCAAGCGUUAAUCGGAAUUACUGGGCGUAAAGCGCGCGUAGGUGGUUUGUUAAGUUGGAUGUGAAAUCCCCGGGCUCAACCUGGGAACUGCAUUCAAAACUGACUGACUAGAGUAUGGUGGAGGGUGGUGGAAUUUCCUGUGUAGCGGUGAAAUGCGUAGAUAUAGGAAGGAACACCAGUGGCGAAGGCGACCACCUGGACUAAUACUGACACUGAGGUGCGAAAGCGUGGGGAGCAAAC
rnacentral:rRNA from 1 species